rnacentral:rRNA from 1 species
UACGUAGGGGGCAAGCGUUGUCCGGAAUCAUUGGGCGUAAAGAGCGCGUAGGCGGUCCGGUAAGUCGGUUGUGAAAACUGGGGGCUCAACCCUCAGAGGCCGACCGAUACUGUCGGGCUAGAGUCCGGAAGAGGCGAGUGGAAUUCCUGGUGUAGCGGUGAAAUGCGCAGAUAUCAGGAGGAACACCAAUGGCGAAGGCAGCUCGCUGGGACGGUACUGACGCUCAUGCACGAAAGCGUGGGGAGCAAACAGG